AGUAACGCGUGGAUAACCUGCCUCAUACAGGGGGAUAACAGUUAGAAAUGACUGCUAAUACCGCAUAAGCACACGGGAGCGCAUGCUUCCGGGUGAAAAGCUCCGGCGGUAUGAGAUGGAUCCGCGUCUGAUUAGCUGGUUGGCGGGGUAACGGCCCACCAAGGCGACGAUCAGUAGCCGACCUGAGAGGGUGGCCGGCCACAUUGGGACUGAGACACGGCCCAAACUCCUACGGAAGGCAGCAG
rnacentral:rRNA from 1 species